GAUGAACGCUGGCGGCGUGCCUAAUACAUGCAAGUCGAGCGAACAGAUGAGGAGCUUGCUCCUCUGACGUUAGCGGCGGACGGGUGAGUAACACGUGGAUAACCUACCUAUAAGACUGGGAUAACUUCGGGAAACCGGAGCUAAUACCGGAUAAUAUAUUGAACCGCAUGGUUCAAUAGUGAAAGACGGUUUUGCUGUCACUUAUAGAUGGAUCCGCGCCGCAUUAGCUAGUUGGUAAGGUAACGGCUUACCAAGGCAACGAUGCGUAGCCGACCUGAGAGGGUGAUCGGCCACACUGGAACUGAGACACGGUCCAGACUCCUACGGAAGGCAGCAGUAGGGAAUCUUCCGCAAUGGGCGAAAGCCUGACGGAGCAACGCCGCGUGAGUGAUGAAGGUCUUCGGAUCGUAAAACUCUGUUAUUAGGGAAGAACAAAUGUGUAAGUAACUAUGCACGUCUUGACGGUACUUAAUCAGAAAGCCACGGCUAACUACGUG
rnacentral:rRNA from 1 species